CUUGCCAUGACGAAUUUGACGCUAUGCGACCCACCGCUGGAGACUUCCUUCAACAAAGAUGGCUGACAAAAAUACUGCGAAGCAAAUGUUAGGGACUCCUGAGAAAAACACCAAACCAGGCUGUCGACUUGUGAAACAGUGGAUGUAAAGAAUCUAGCUAGCUAAAGCAUUUACAGCCAAUUGAAUGUACAAUUUUGUAUGCUUGCCUUGCUGAUAUUUGCCAUGAAAUGCAGCUGAAGUAACGUAACUUGGCUAGCUAACCAUUUUCUUGCUUAUUGUGUAGUGGAGGAUAAAAAUACCUGUAUGCCUAUGGAUGUGUAGCUAGCUAUGUAGCUGAUCUGUGUAUGGGACCCUGAAACGUUUGGUAUAAAUAUUAAUUCAGAACCUAGUUAUGAACCUCAGCUAUCAUAGCUGUUUGUAUCCACUUCAGAACAGCCAAAGGGCAUUAAUGAAGCCUAUGGAUGGAGUAGAAUAUAGUAUAACUUUGUGCCAAGGAUGGAAGUCAUAUAUACAUGUAGUUAUUACCAAACAUGAGAUCCCCACAUUGUAGCCUGUACAUUUAAUAUAUUCACUGAUCAUGUACUCUACCUUGGCAAAUACAUUUGUGGUUCAGGUAUGAGUGUCUGUGACAUUCUUUUUCAGUCAUAUCCAGUUCCAAGAGUAAACUCCAGUCUUUGAAUGA